AGCAGCCGCGGUAAUUCCAGCUCCAAUAGCGUAUAUUAAAGUUGUUGCAGUUAAAAAGCUCGUAGUUGAAUUUCGAGACCGGUCUACUGGUCGUGCUUUUUGUACGUACUGGUAUAAUCGGUUUCUCUCUUCUGACGAACUAUAAUGCCAUUAAUUUGGUGUUUUAGGGAAUCAGGACUGUUACUUUGAAAAAAUUAGAGUGUUUAAAGCAGGCUCACGCUUGAAUACAUUAGCAUGGAAUAACGAAAUAGGACGUUUGAUUUUAUUUUGUUGGUUUCUAGGAUCGACGUAAUGAUUAAUAGGGAUAGUUGGGGGCAUUAGUAUUCAAUUGUCAGAGGUGAAAUUCUUGGAUUUAUUGAAGACUAACUACUGCGAAAGCAUUUGCCAAGGAUGUUUUCAUUAAUCAAGAACGAAAGUUAGGGGAUCGAAGACGAUCAGAUACCGUCGUAGUCUUAACCAUAAACUAUGCCGACUAGGGAUCGGAUGAUGUUAAAUUAAUGACUCAUUUCGGCACCUUACG
rnacentral:rRNA from 1 species